rnacentral:rRNA from 1 species
GGCCUACGGGACGCAGCAGUGGGGGAUAUUGCACAAUGGGCGAAAGCCUGAUGCAGCGACGCCGCGUGAGGGAAGACGGUCUUCGGAUUGUAAACCUCUGUCUUUGGGGAAGAAUAGAGACGGUACCCAAAGAGGAAGCUCCGGCUAACUACGUGCCAGCAGCCGCGGUAAUACGUAGGGAGCGACCGUUGUCCGGAAUUACUGGGUGUAAAGGGAGCGUAGGCGGGCUUGUAAGUUGAACGUCUAAUCCACCGGCUCAACCCGUGACCGCGUUCAAAACUGCAGGUCUUGAGUGAAGUAGAGGC